rnacentral:rRNA from 1 species
GAUCAUAGCUCAGGAUGAACGCUAGCGAUAGGCUUAACACAUGCAAGUCGAGGGGCAGCAUGGUCUUAGCUUGCUAAGACUGAUGGCGACCGGCGCACGGGUGCGUAACGCGUAUGCAACUUGCCUCACAGAGGGGGAUAACCCGUCGAAAGACGGACUAAUACCGCGUACACUCUAUGUUGGGCAUCCAAUGUAGAGGAAAUGAACUUCGCUGUGAGAUAGGCA